GGCGCAUGCGCAGUGAGCGGCGCGCUCGGGCUCGGAGUUGGGUCCGCGUUCAUUCAGUCCUCGCGCGCGGGUUAUUUUGUGCUCUGAUGCCUAUUUCUUGCACAUGUGUAGCAGCUGAUUUUAUAAGCUUCAUGUCAUUGUGUACCUGUGUAGAGUAUCUGCAAUCAAGGUUGAGACUUUAGCCAAGAUGUCUCGGGAGACUGGAAAUGAAUCCCAGCAAUCUCAAGGUGCCCAGCAGUCUCAGAGUGGUACAAGUUCUUCCUCCAGUGGAUCACAGAGUGCCAGUCAGUCUUCUUCCAGUUCUGGGACCCUCAGUUCUUUAGACACAGUUCCUACUCAGGAACUUCCUUCAAUUCCUGAGGAUCAGGAACCUGAAGAAAUUGUUCCUCAGCCAUGGGGUCGACUCUUUGCACUUGGAAAGGGUUUCUGCAAUUAUGACUGCGUGAAUGACGAGUGUUGGUUUGGCAGAGACAGAAGCUGUGAUUAUAGCUUUGCUAAGCUAGGGUUGACCGAGACAGGCUUAUACCAAAACUACAGCAAGAAGCACUUCCGAAUCUUCAGGGAAAUGGGACCAAGAAACUCCUAUGUUGCCUACAUUGAGGACCACAGUGCAAAUGGGACUUUUCUAAAUAAAGAGCUUAUUGGGAAAGGGAAAAGGCUCCCAUUGACUCACAAUUCUGAAAUUGCACUGUCUGUACAGACUAACAAAGUGUUUGUGUUUUCUGAUCUUAUGGUGGAUGAUCAGUCGGGGUAUCCCAGAGAAUUCAGAGAGAAAUAUAUCAUGUCAAAGACUUUGGGAAGUGGUGCCUGUGGAGAGGUUAAAUUGGCAUUUGAGAGGACCACGUGUAACAAAGUUGCUGUAAAGAUAAUCAAUAAACGGAGAUUUAUAACAAGCGCUGUGAGUGACACAGAUCCAGCUUUUAAUGUUAAUACAGAAAUUGAGAUUUUGAAGAAAAUAAAUCAUCCCUGCUUAAUCAAGAUAAAAAACUUCUUUGAUGCAGAAGAUUAUUAUAUUGUUUUGGAAUUGAUGGAAGGAGGAGAGUUAUAUGACAGAGUGUCGAGAUCAAUGAAGAUGAAAGAAGCUACCUGCAAGCUCUAUUUUUAUCAGAUGUUGUUGGCUGUAAAGUAUCUUCAUGAAAAUGGUAUUAUACAUCGGGAUCUAAAGCCAGAGAAUGUGCUACUUUCAUCUUCUGAAGAAACUUGUCUUAUAAAGAUUACAGAUUUUGGACAAUCCAAGAUUCUUGGAGAAUCAUCACUAAUGAGAACAUUAUGUGGUACUCCCACGUAUCUCGCCCCUGAAGUUCUCAAUUCACUUGGGACAGCUGGGUAUAGCCGUGCUGUGGACUGCUGGAGUUUAGGAGUUAUUCUUUUUGUAUGCCUGUGUGGAUAUCCACCAUUCAAUGAACAAAAUACUCAGCUAUGUCUGAAAGAUCAAAUUACCCGUGGAGAAUAUACAUUUAUUCCAAGAGAAUGGAAGCAUGUGUCAGAUAUGGCUUUGGAUCUUGUGAAGAAGCUGUUAGUAGUGGAUCCAAAUAAACGUCUUACAACGGAAAAAGCCUUAGAACAUCCCUGGCUUCAGGUGAUGUACCCCUGGCUGCUCUGAAGGCCAGCAUCCCAAAUGUUCAGUUCUAGAUGUCAGGCCACUUGAACACCACCAGAGGAGCCACUUGAGCUCCUGUAACUGUGUGCAGUGAGGAGCUGAUGGCCCUCCACUCUCUCUGCCAUUGUCUCAAACCCUGGCCUAGUAGAAGCAGCAAGAUUGGCUUCUUCUCCUUGCUUCCAGCCACUUUUACAGGCAGUGAGGAACCUGGAUACCUGUAGCAGGAGCUGAGAACCAGGAGAACAGUAUCCUGUGACUAAUCAGCCUGUCCACAGACCACCACCAUAUGCUUCGUGGUUCACAGUUUGGGAAUUACCCUAUGAGCAAAUUGUGUCUCCAGUGGGGGAUUGGGAUGAAAAUAUGAAGAGCACAUUUCAAGAGCUACUCUCACAAACAAGAGUCUCUAUGCAUCCACCACAGACAUCAAGACUGCCAACCACAACCAGAAAACGUCCCCAU